rnacentral:ncRNA from 1 species
CAGUACUCGGAAGCCUUUGUCAGCCCUAAGGGGUCGCGACUAUAAAUAACGAUAGCAAGUCACUUCUGGUGGCAACAUAAUCGAAUUGCGGGGAUCUCUUAAAGCCUGCUGGUACCUCCCCUCAUGGAAACGUGAGGGCAYGGUCAUAACCCAGAGGAUGCUACAAUAGAUGAUCCGCAGCGAAGCCCCUAAGCCUUCGGGUAUGGGGAACGUUCACAGACUAAGUGAUUGUGGGUAGCCUAGCUACUUGAGAUAUAGUCGGCCGGCCCGGGAAACCAGGCCUUCUCCCAGCGUUCCGUAGGUGAACCUGCGGAAGGAUCAUUA